rnacentral:rRNA from 1 species
UACGUAGGGGGCAAGCGUUGUCCGGAAUCAUUGGGCGUAAAGCGCGUGUAGGCGGCUCGAUAAGUCUGCUGUGAAAGUCCAGGCUCAACCCUGGAAUGCCGGUGGAAACUGUCGGGCUAGAGUCCGGAAGAGGCGAGUGGAAUUCCUGGUGUAGCGGUGAAAUGCGCAGAUAUCAGGAGGAACACCAAUGGCGAAGGCAGCUCGCUGGGACGUUACUGACGCUGAGACGCGAAAGCGUGGGGAGCAAACAGG